UGUCUCCUGGGAUGUACGCCAGUUCAUUCAUGUCCCUGGCCGAUGCUUUAAAACUAGGAAGUUGAAACGAUGGCUAUUGUGCAAGCUCGGCGCGUAUCGAGAAGCCUACGGCUAUUGUGAUUCUUCCGCCCUGAACUUUUCGGUUCACGGGCGAACGAUGAACAGCGGCAUUCUGGGAGACGC
rfam:Alteromonas australica strain H 17, complete genome.